GACCCGCUGGGGAGGCAGGAGCUCCAGGAGCCCUGGACACAAGCCGGCAGCCCCUAGGCAGAGCAGCCCAGACAGCUGAGCUUCCCGUUUGUCAGCCAUUUUGGGGUGGGCCCAGAGGAAUUCCACCCCGUUUCCUCUGGUGUCCCUGCUGCGGAGCGGAGUAGCGUAGCGGGGCGCCCUGCCUCGGGGCACACCGGCGUCAGGGGUCCCCUUUCCCCACCUGGAGCCCAGGCCCUUAGGAGUUCUGGGACCAGGGCCAUUUGCCCGCCCCUGGCACUGCUCCCCGCGGUAGCCAUCUUGGGCGGCCUCUGGGGUUUCUGAGGGCCUUCUCCAGCUGUGGGCCUCGGGCCCACUCUCCCGUGGGGCACACAGGCGGAGGGACAGCCAGGGGCCCUUCGCCCCUGUGCACCCGCUGCACCCUCCGGACCACCCCGCCCGCACUGGGCACAGCACAGCCCCCCCCCUCUGUCUCUGUCUCUGUCUCUGUCUCUCUCUCUCUCUCUCCCCCUCCCGGAGGGCCUCUGCCUUGGGCCCUGCUAACCGGCUCUGACAGAAACUAUCUCCGCUUGAUGGCAGUAUGGCUCCACCAAUGCCAACCAAAUGCUUACCCCCCCUCCCCUCCAACACCCGCCCCCAGGGCCUGGAGCCUCCUGCCCUACCAGGGUGAAAGCAAAAGCAAAACGCAACUGACACAGACAGUCCCAGGAAGAAGCACAGAAAAGUACUGGCCAGGGCGCUGCUCCCAGGCACCUGCCCAAUCCUGCCUUCUAGACAGAGGCACACCCGCGCCAGAAGGCCUGAAAGUCAGGAAGCGAGUGUAAGUAAGGGACGGAAAGCGCAGAGCGAAAAGAAAGCAAAGGUGGAACUGAGGUGGAGCUGAAGCCUGAAGGUGAUCCCGGGGCACUGUGUCCCAGGGGGGCACUGGAACCUGUGGCCCCUAGGGGAAGAGCCAUCACCCGAGGCAGAGCCGUCAGCCACUGAGGCAAGGGUUUGGACCCUGGCCAGGGAGAGGCCUGCCUUGCGAUGCUGUAGUGCCCACCUGGGAAGGGGAAAGACAACCAGAAUGGGCCAAGGAGGAAGAACUGGGUCGGGCCGGGCCGGGGGGUGGGGUGGGGGACGGGGUGGCCAGGAAGGUAGGGCCGCUCUUCCCCCGCCCCCCCCCCCGCCCCCGGGUCCAGUGCCACUGGCAGAGAGAAUAAGCUGUGUGCCUGUGCAGACCCGUUCACCUGACUAUAAGGCUGUGUGUGUGGUGUGUGCGGGGUGGGGUUGGGGGGGGUCGGGGGAUGUGUGCGUGCACGCAUGCGCGCGCGCGCCAGG
rnacentral:lncRNA from 1 species